rnacentral:rRNA from 1 species
AGGGUUCGAUCAUGGCUCAGAGUGAACGCUGGCGGCAUGGUUAAGACAUGCAAGUCGAACGAUAAGCAGGACUUCGGUCCUGUGGACAGUGGCGAACGGGUGCGUAACACGUGAGCAACCUGCCCCUAAGUACGGAAUAGCCCACCGAAAGGUGGAUUAAUACCGCAUGUGUCCCUUCUUCGCAUGGAGAAGUGGAUAAAGCUUGUAAUGGCGCUUAGGGAUGGGCUCGCGGCCUAUCAGCUUGUUGGUGAGGUAAUGGCUCACCAAGGCUAAGACGGGUAGCUGGUCUGAGAGGAUGAUCAGCCACACCGGGACUGAGACACGGCCCGGACACCUACGGGUGGCAGCAGUUUCGAAUCAUUCACAAUGGGCGAAAGCCUGAUGAUGCAAUGCCGCGUGGGGGAUGAAGGCCUUAGGGUCGUAAACUCCUGUCAUUAGGGAACAACAAGCAGGUUUAUAGCCUGCCCUGAGUUAACCUAAAGAGGAAGAGGUGGCUAACUCCGUGCCAGCCGCCGCGGUAAUUCA